AUACGGAGGAUCCGAGCGUUAUCCGGAUUUAUUGGGUUUAAAGGGUGCGCAGGCGGCCAUUUAAGUCAGCGGUUAAAUCGUGGGGCUCAACCCCAUUCUGCCGUUGAUACUGGGUGGCUUGAUUGCGGUCGAGGUUGGCGGAAUUCGUUGUGUAGCGGUGAAAUGCAUAGAUAUGACGAAGAACGCCGAUUGCGUAGGCAGCUGACCAGACCGCAAAUGACGCUCAUGCACGAAAGUGCGGGGAUCGAACAGGAUUAGAUACCCUGGUAGUCCGCACAGUAAACGAUGAAUACUUGUUUUCGGCGAUAUAAUGUCGGAGGCAAAGCGAAAGCGAUAAGUAUUCCACCUGGGGAGUACGCCGGCAACGGUGAAACUUAAAGGAAUUGACGGG
rnacentral:rRNA from 1 species